rnacentral:ncRNA from 1 species
UUCUUCAGGGCAGGGUGAAAUUCCCGACCGGCGGUACAGUCCGCGAGCCCCUCGGGGCACGAACCGGUGCAAUUCCGGUACCGACAGUAGAGUCUGGAUGGAAGAGGGA